UGCCAGACUCCUACGGGAGGCAGCAGUGGGGAAUAUUGCACAAUGGGGGAAACCCUGAUGCAGCGACGCCGCGUGAGCGGUGAAGUAUUUCGGUAUGUAAAGCUCUAUCAGCAGGGAAGAAGAUGACGGUACCUGACUAAGAAGCCCCGGCUAACUACGUGCCAGCAGCCGCGGUAAUACGUAGGGGGCAAGCGUUAUCCGGAUUUACUGGGUGUAAAGGGAGCGUAGACGGCGAUGCAAGCCAGAUGUGAAAGCCCGGGGCUCAACCCCGGGACUGCAUUUGGAACUGUGUGGCUGGAGUGUCGGAGAGGCAGGCGGAAUUCCUAGUGUAGCGGUGAAAUGCGUAGAUAUUAGGAGGAGCACCAGUGGCGAAGGCGGCCUGCUGGACGAUGACUGACGUUGAGGCUCGAAAGCGUGGGGAGCAAACAGGAUUAGAUACCCCAGUAAGC
rnacentral:rRNA from 1 species